CGAUGAUAACUAGCCGUUGGGGGGAUUUACCCCUUAGUGGCGAAGCUAACGCGUUAAGUUAUCCGCCUGGGGAGUACGGCCGCAAGGUUAAAACUCAAAGGAAUUGACGGGGACCCGCACAAGCGGUGGAGCAUGUGGUUUAAUUCGAUGCAACGCGAAGAACCUUACCUGGUCUUGACAUCCUGCGAACUUUCUAGAAAUAGAUUGGUGCCUUCGGGAACGCAGUGACAGGUGCUGCAUGGCUGUCGUCAGCUCGUGUCGUGAGAUGUUGGGUUAAGUCCCGUAACGAGCGCAACCCCUAUCCUUAUUUGCCAGCACAUCAUGGUGGGAACUAUAAGGAGACUGCCGGUGAUAAACCGGAGGAAGGCGGGGACGACGUCAAGUCAUCAUGGCCCUUACGACCAGGGCUACACACGUGCUACAAUGGGAAGGACAAAGAGCCGCGAAGCCGCGAGGUGUAGCUAAUCUCAGAAACCUUUUCGUAGUCCGGAUUGGAGUCUGCAACUCGACUCCAUGAAGUCGGAAUCGCUAGUAAUCGUAGAUCAGAAUGCUACGGUGAAUACGUUCCCGGGUCUUGUACACACCGCCCGUCAUACCAUGGGAGUGGGUUGCACCAGAAGUGGCUAGUCUAACUUUAUUGAGGACGGUCACCACGGUGUGAUUCAUGACUGGGGUAAAGUCGUAACAAGGUAACC
rnacentral:rRNA from 1 species